rnacentral:SRP_RNA from 1 species
CUUUCGUGCAACAGAAGGUCAUGAACCUCGUCAGAUCCGGAAGGAAGCAGCGAUAAGUGAUAUCAUCUGUGUCGUGGUUUGAU